UUCCUCCACCAAGCAUGUGGUUUCUCAAGUGGCCUCUUGGCUUACAGCUUUAUCGGAUGGUCCCGAACAGAUACUCUCCAAAGACCGAAAAUGUUGGCUAAAGAGGUUUGUGACGAGGAAGAUAUGGAGCUCUAGAGAAGUUGCUAACACCCUUACUCAAACCACCUCUUUCGCAACUCCAUCAUUUACUUCCCGUACGUGUGACCGACUCCCGAACGGAGAGCUCAGAGGAAGAGGACGAAAGAGAAGAAGGAGAGGAGCCAGGGAAAACGGACACGGAUUCCGACUCGAAUUAUUCUCCUACGAUGGCUUCUCCACCUUCUGACAUUCCACCGCCCUGCUGCGUCGCAUCACCUCCUCGUGAUCUUCAUGUGCCUAGAAUUGCCAGCAGGUUGGAUAAACGUCCUCUGGCGGAUAGGCCUAAAAAGCCUAGGCGUGGUUUCGUGGAGGGUUGGUUGUUCACCCGUUGCACCCAAUCCAACCAUGUAUGGAGCAGUUGUGAUUAGUGCUUAUUUUCAAAUGCACGUUGAAAGUGUAUUCCUCAAUUUUAAGAUGUAACUUUACACGUAUUUAAACUCUAUUUGAUUUGUAUUACCAAUCUAUUACUUCUCCUUUAUCCUAACUAGUUAAGUC